CAGAGGACACCUUGCUGUAACAGAGAAAUUCGCUACAAACCGUAUUUGGUCAGUCCACAUCUAUCUAUGCUGGAAUACUGCUGUACACUAACAACCUCAUUCAAGGCAGACGAAACUGUAGACCUCAGUCUAAUCCUACCAUAGUUCAGGCCUAUCUAAAGUAUACUACCAACACACAGGAUACACCCCCUAAGUGCCAACUAACAAGGAAAGGUGGUGGUGCCCUGAUGCUGGUGAAGAGCUCUUGAUCCAGGGAAUUGGGACUACCGUUGGAUCAAUGUCUGCUUUUUCUGUACCGGUUUCUAGGCUCUUGGAUCCUUGAAGCUGGAGUUUGUGAUGCCUACGAUGAGGUGCGUUGAGGGAGCACCAACAGCCUGACUGACCAGGCUAUCAUGGCCUGGUCGUGUGGGCAGUGAUCUCUUGGUGUUAU